CGGUUAAGUUAGAAAGGGCGCACGGUGGAUGCCUUGGCACUAGGAGCCGAUGAAGGACGGGACGAACACCGAUAUGCUUCGGGGAGCUGUAAGCAAGCUUUGAUCCGGAGAUUUCCGAAUGGGGAAACCCACCACUCGUAAUGGAGUGGUAUCCAUAUCUGAAUACAUAGGAUAUGAGAAGGCAGACCCGGGGAACUGAAACAUCUAAGUACCCGGAGGAAGAGAAAGCAAAUGCGAUUCCCUGAGUAGCGGCGAGCGAAACGGGACCAGCCCAAACCAAGAGGCUUGCCUCUUGGGGUUGUAGGACACUCUGUACGGAGUUACAAAGGAACGAGGUAGAUGAAGAGGUCUGGAAAGGCCCGCCAUAGAAGGUAACAGCCCUGUAGUCAAAACUUCGUUCUCUCCUGAGUGGAUCCUGAGUACGGCGGAACACGUGAAAUUCCGUCGGAAUCCGGGAGGACCAUCUCCCAAGGCUAAAUACUCCCUAGUGACCGAUAGUGAACCAGUACCGUGAGGGAAAGGUGAAAAGCACCCCGGAAGGGGAGUGAAAGAGAUCCUGAAACCGUGUGCCUACAAGUAGUCAGAGCCCGUUAACGGGUGAUGGCGUGCCUUUUGUAGAAUGAACCGGCGAGUUACGAUCCCGUGCAAGGUUAAGCAGAAGAUGCGGAGCCGCAGCGAAAGCGAGUCUGAAUAGGGCGAAUUGAGUACGUGGUCGUAGACCCGAAACCAGGUGAUCUACCCAUGUCCAGGGUGAAGUUCAGGUAACACUGAAUGGAGGCCCGAACCCACGCACGUUGAAAAGUGCGGGGAUGAGGUGUGGGUAGGGGUGAAAUGCCAAUCGAACCUGGAGAUAGCUGGUUCUCUCCGAAAUAGCUUUAGGGCUAGCCUCAAGGUAAGAGUCUCGGAGGUAGAGCACUGAUUGGACUAGGGGCCCCUACCGGGUUACCGAAUUCAGUCAAACUCCGAAUGCCGAUGACUUAUCCUUGGGAGUCAGACUGCGAGUGAUAAGAUCCGUAGUCGAAAGGGAAACAGCCCAGACCGCCAGCUAAGGUCCCAAAGUAUACGUUAAGUGGAAAAGGAUGUGGAGUUGCUUAGACAACCAGGAUGUUGGCUUAGAAGCAGCCACCAUUUAAAGAGUGCGUAAUAGCUCACUGGUCGAGUGACUCUGCGCCGAAAAUGUACCGGGGCUAAACGUAUCACCGAAGCUGCGGACUGUUCUUCGAACAGUGGUAGGAGAGCGUUCUAAGGGCUGUGAAGCAAGACCGGAAGGACUUGUGGAGCGCUUAGAAGUGAGAAUGCCGGUAUGAGUAGCGAAAGAGGGGUGAGAAUCCCCUCCACCGAAUGCCUAAGGUUUCCUGAGGAAGGCUCGUCCGCUCAGGGUUAGUCGGGACCUAAGCCGAGGCCGAAAGGCGUAGGCGAUGGAUAACAGGUUGAUAUUCCUGUACCACCUCCUCACCAUUUGAGCAAUGGGGGGACGCAGGAGGAUAGGGUAAGCGCGGUAUUGGAUAUCCGCGUCCAAGCAGUUAGGCUGGGAAAUAGGCAAAUCCGUUUCCCGUGAAGGCUGAGCUGUGAUGGCGAGCGAAUUAUAGUAGCGAAGUUCCUGAUUCCACACUGCCAAGAAAAGCCUCUAGCGAGGUGAGAGGUGCCCGUACCGCAAACCGACACAGGUAGGCGAGGAGAGAAUCCUAAGGUGAUCGAGAGAACUCUCGUUAAGGAACUCGGCAAAAUGACCCCGUAACUUCGGGAGAAGGGGUGCUCUGUUAGGGUGCAAGCCCGAGAGAGCCGCAGUGAAUAGGCCCAGGCGACUGUUUAGCAAAAACACAGGUCUCUGCGAAGCCGUAAGGCGAAGUAUAGGGGCUGACGCCUGCCCGGUGCUGGAAGGUUAAGAGGAGCGCUUAGCGUAAGCGAAGGUGCGAAUUGAAGCCCCAGUAAACGGCGGCCGUAACUAUAACGGUCCUAAGGUAGCGAAAUUCCUUGUCGGGUAAGUUCCGACCCGCACGAAAGGCGCAACGAUCUGGGCACUGUCUCAACGAGAGACUCGGUGAAAUUAUAGUACCUGUGAAGAUGCAGGUUACCCGCGACAGGACGGAAAGACCCCGUGGAGCUUUACUGCAGCCUGAUAUUGAAUGUUGGUACAGCUUGUACAGGAUAGGUAGGAGCCUUGGAAACCGGAGCGCCAGCUUCGGUGGAGGCAUCGGUGGGAUACUACCCUGGCUGUAUUGACCUUCUAACCCGCCGCCCUUAUCGGGCGGGGAGACAGUGUCAGGUGGGCAGUUUGACUGGGGCGGUCGCCUCCUAAAAGGUAACGGAGGCGCCCAAAGGUUCCCUCAGAAUGGUUGGAAAUCAUUCGCAGAGUGUAAAGGCACAAGGGAGCUUGACUGCGAGACCUACAAGUCGAGCAGGGACGAAAGUCGGGCUUAGUGAUCCGGUGGUUCCGCAUGGAAGGGCCAUCGCUCAACGGAUAAAAGCUACCCCGGGGAUAACAGGCUUAUCUCCCCAAGAGUCCACAUCGACGGGGAGGUUUGGCACCUCGAUGUCGGCUCAUCGCAUCCUGGGGCUGUAGUCGGUCCCAAGGGUUGGGCUGUUCGCCCAUUAAAGCGGUACGCGAGCUGGGUUCAGAACGUCGUGAGACAGUUCGGUCCCUAUCCGUCGCGGGCGCAGGAAAUUUGAGAGGAGCUGUCCUUAGUACGAGAGGACCGGGAUGGACGCACCGCUGGUGUACCAGUUGUUCUGCCAAGGGCAUCGCUGGGUAGCUAUGUGCGGACGGGAUAAGUGCUGAAAGCAUCUAAGCAUGAAGCCCCCCUCAAGAUGAGAUUUCCCAUUCCGCAAGGAAGUAAGAUCCCUGAAAGAUGAUCAGGUUGAUAGGUCUGAGGUGGAAGUGUGGCGACACAUGGAGCUGACAGAUACUAAUCGAUCGAGGACUUAACCAAUUU
rnacentral:rRNA from 1 species